rnacentral:lncRNA from 1 species
GCCUUCUCCCCGCUUCCGCCCUGCGCGCUAACCGAAGACGGGAGCUCGAGAGCUUGAUCCUGCGCGAGUUUACAGACUGCCCUCUUCCCUUUUUGCAUCGAAGACCACAACUCCCAAGAGUUAAUGCGUCGGCCCGGGACUACAUCUUCCGGCAUGCAUCGCCGGCGGGUCCGCGAGUUCUCACCAUCGCAGCUGGACUAUUAGCGGGGGCCCUAGCGCUCUUGUGGUUUGUUUCGGCAGUAUCUGAAUGUCAGCUUUUGGCACUUCUGGUCGCUCUGAGCCUCCUACUCGCAUUCCUGGAGCAAGGUGCUUUCCAGGCCUCAUGGAGGUGGAGGAGCUGAGGAAGCUCGAGAAGAUGGAUAGAAGUGGGAAAUGGAGCUAGCGUACGGGAGAGGGAAAUGGCUGGAAUAUUCGUCAAUCUGUGGUGCUUUACUGGAGAUUUGCAGGAGUUCAGAGGAAGGGGGCAUUGAAUUUCAUAACCUAAACCGUAUCGUGGUUUACCAGAAAGUUUUGACCCGUGAUUCCGGUUUUAAAGGCUGAGUAGGGCCGGGCGCGGUGGUUCACGCCAGUAAUCCCAGCAGUUUAGGAGGCCAAGGCAGGCGGAUCACCUGAGGUCAGGGGUUGGAGAUAAACCUGGCCAACAUGGUGAAACCUCGUCUUUAGUAAAAAAUACAAAAAUUAGCCAGGUUUUGUGGCACAUGCCUGUAAUCCUAGCUACUCGAAAGGCUGAAGCACGAGAAUCGCUUGAACCCAGGAGGAGGUUGCAGCGAACCGAGAUCUUGCCGCUGUACUCCAGCCUGGGCGACAGAGCGAGACUGUGUCAAAACAACACCACAAGCUAGCUGAGUAGGGUUUCUUGGGCGAAGUGGAAGACAUUAUAAGCAAAUAGGGUAGUAUGGGCAUGGAAACGAACUACAUGAUUAAAGAAUAGUAUUAUCUGGCGAGGGAGGAAAAGUGCCAGAGCAAGUGCCGAAACUGGAAGGUUACAUUUAGUUCAGGAUAUGAAGAUCAUAUAAGGCCUGCACGGUGGCUCACACCUGUAAUCCCAGCACUUUGGGAAGCCAAGGUGGGGGAGGAUCGCUUGAGCUCAGGAGUUGGAGACCAGCCUGGGCAACAUAGUGGGACCCCAUAUCUCAAAAAAAAAAAAAAAUAAGCUGGGCGUGGUGGCUUGCGCCUGUGGUCUCAGCUAUCCCGGAGGCUGAGGUGGGAGGACUGCUUGAGUUCAGGACGUCAAGGCUGCAGUGAGCUGUGAUGGGCCACUGCACUCCAGCCUGGGCUACAGAGUGAGACCUUGUCUCAAAAGACAAGCGACAACAACAAAACAUGUAAGGAGAGGCCAGGCGCGGUGGCUCAAGCCUGUAAUCCCAGAACUUUGGGAGGCCAAGGUGGGCGGAUCACGAGGUCAGGAGUUCAAGACCAGCCUGGCCAAGAUGGCAAAACCCCAUCUCUACUAAAACUACAAAAAUUAGCCGGGCGUGGUGGCGCAUGCCUGUAAUCCCAGCUCUUUGGGAGGUUGAGGCAGAGAAGUGCUUGAACCCGGGAGGUGGAGGUUGCAGUGAGCGAGAUCACGCCAAUGCACUCCAGCCUCGGCAACAGAGCAAGACUCCGUCUCA